rnacentral:rRNA from 1 species
GAUUGAAACGACUGCUAAGACUGGAUAGGAAACAAAAAGGCAUCUUUUUGUUUUUAAAAGACCUUCUUACGAAGGUAUGCUUAAAGAGGGGCUUGCGCCACAUUAGUUAGUUGGUAGGGUAAAAGCCUACCAAGACGAUGAUGUGUAGCUGGACUGAGAGGUUGAACAGCCACAUUGGGACUGAGACACGGCCCAAACUCCUACGGGAGGCAGCAGUAGGGAAUUUUCGGCAAUGGAGGAAACUCUGACCGAGCAACGCCGCGUGAACGAUGAAGUAUUUCGGUAUGUAAAGUUCUUUUAUUGAAGAAGAAAAAGUAGUGGAAAAACUAUAUUGACGUUAUUCAAUGAAUAAGCCCCGGCUAACUAUGUGCCAGCAGCCGCGGUAAGACAUAGGGGGCGAGCGUUAUCCGGAAUUAUUGGGCGUAAAGGGUGCGUAGGCUGUUAGAUAAGUCUAUAAUUUAAUUUCAGUGCUUAACGCUGUCUUGUUAUAGAAACUGUCUUGACUAGAGUGAGAUAGAGGCAAGCGGAAUUCCAUGUGUAGCGGUAAAAUGUGUAAAUAUAUGGAGGAACACCAGAAGCGUAGGCGGCUUGCUGGGUCUUUACUGACGCUGAGGCACGAAAGCGUGGGUAGCAAACAGGAUUAGAUACCCUGGUAGUCCACGCCGUAAACGAUGAGUACUAAGUGUCGGGGUAAAACUCGGUACUGAAGUUAACACAUUAAGUACUCCGCCUGAGUAGUACGUACGCAAGUAUGAAACUUAAGGGAAUUGACGGGACUCCGCACAAGCGGUGGAUCAUGUUGUUUAAUUCGAAGAUACACGAAAAAUCUUACCAGGUCUUGACAUACUCUGCAAAGCUAUAGAAAUAUAGUGGAGGUUAUCAGGGAUACAGGUGGUGCAUGGUUGUCGUCAGUUCGUGUCGUGAGAUGUUAGGUUAAGUCCUAAAACGAGCGCAACCCUUGUCGUUAAUUGCCAGCACGUAAUGGUGGGGACUUUAGCGAGACUGCCAAUUAAACAUUGGAGGAAGGUGAGGAUUACGUCAAAUCAUCAUGCCCCUUAUGAUCUGGGCUACAAACGUGAUACAAUGGCUGUGACAAAGAGUAGCUGAAACGCGAGUUUUUAGCCAAUCUCAAAAAAGCAGUCUCAGUUCGGAUUGAAGUCUGUAACUCGACUUCAUGAAGUUGGAAUCGCUAGUAAUCGCGAAUCAGCAUGUCGCGGUGAAUACGUUCUCGGGGUUUGUACACACCGCCCGUCAAAUC